UUCCUGAUGGCUCAGAAGGUUAAGGGUCCAGCAUUGUCAGUGCUGUGGCUCAGGUUCGAUCCCUGGCCUGGAAA
rnacentral:tRNA from 1 species